rnacentral:rRNA from 1 species
ACUCCUACGGGAGGCAGCAGUGGGGAAUAUUGCACAAUGGGCGCAAGCCUGAUGCAGCCAUGCCGCGUGUGUGAAGAAGGCCUUCGGGUUGUAAAGCACUUUCAGUCGUGAGGAAGGUGUAGUGUUAAUAGCACUAUCAUUUGACGUUAGCGACAGAAGAAGCACCGGCUAACUCCGUGCCAGCAGCCGCGGUAAUACGGAGGGUGCGAGCGUUAAUCGGAAUUACUGGGCGUAAAGCGCAUGCAGGUGGUUUGUUAAGUCAGAUGUGAAAGCCCGGGGCUCAACCUCGGAAUAUGACAUU